AGCAGCCGCGGUAAUUCCAGCUCCAAUAGCGUAUAUUAAAGUUGUUGCAGUUAAAAAGCUCGUAGUUGAAUUUCGGGGUUCUUCCGUUGGUCAGGCUAACAAGUCUGUACUAGCGUGUAGAAUCUCUACCUUCUGGGGAACCAUCAUGUUAUUAAUUUAGCGUGGUGGGAAACCAGGACCUUUACCUUGAAAAAUUAGAGUGUUCAAAGCAGGCUUACGUCUGAAUACAUUAGCAUGGAAUAAUAAAAUAGGACGGUGGUCCUGUUUUGUUGGUUUCUGAAUCACCGUAAUGAUUAAUAGGGAUAGUUGGGGGCAUUAGUAUUCAAUUGUCAGAGGUGAAAUUCUUGGAUUUAUUGAAGACUAACUUCUGCGAAAGCAUUUGCCAAGGAUGUUUUCAUUAAUCAAGAACGAAAGUUAGGGGAUCGAAGACGAUCAGAUACCGUCGUAGUC
rnacentral:rRNA from 1 species